AUUGUAUACUUUUAGACUCUGAGCAAAUAAAUUACUCAAACAUAAACUAGAAAAAGACAAAAACGAUUUAAAACCUACAAAUUAGAAGAUGGAAGUGGAAACAAUGCUGUUGACCGAUUCGUUACGACCGCGUAAUCUUUUUGCAUAAGUCAGCUGCAUGACACUUUUUGAACUAAGUUUGGAACGAGUCCCCGGAACAGCUGUACGGAACAGUUGCUACGAAUAACCCGAUACUGUUCAUGAAAGAUCGUCUGGCAUUAUUGAAAUCUAUUGGCAAGAACUAAUGAAACGAGACAUCGACCUCCUUUUUUUAUUGAUGGAGGAUAGUCGGAGCGAGUAAGAAGAGGCUCCGGUCCACAUCUGGUGCGAGGUUACCCUGCGAA